UUUGAGAUUUCCUUUGGUUUUUUCUUUGGUUAGAUUUGUGAGAUUGUUUUUGUGUGGUUUUGCAUUUUAUUUAAUGAUUUUGAAGCCCUUUUUUUUGGGGUGUAAUCAUGACCUAAAAUUGGUUGAAAAAAAAAAAGCGACUUCUUAUUUUAAAUUGGAAACUUUAUAAUGGCUGUCACCAUUUUAUUACAUAAGAGAUUGUGUCAAGUGGAGUUGAAAAUAGUGGUAGAUGAUAUUGAUUAGUUCUUGGUAAUAACAGCAGG
rnacentral:misc_RNA from 1 species